CGAGUUACGGUCGAAAAGGAAAGGUGCCGAAGGUUAGUGAAGAAUUAAUUAAAGGCAAUAUGCACAUUGUACCUAUUGGCACCGUCGAACGGUGAGAAUCACGAGUGUAAUUAUCCCCGGCGGUAGAAAAGCUCGGAACGUGCAUAUACUGUUCUCAAAGUUAACACUACUUAGAGUGAUCGAAUUCUCGUGCAUAGCUGGGCCAUCGAAACCCGAAACGUCGCGGACGUCGCGCGAAAGACGUUGCGAUCAGCUACGGAGGAUAUACGUUAUCGAUUAAGCAUAUGCUGUUGCUCUAAGGGCAAAGCGAACCAAUGGGAACCCUGUGUGUGGUGCGUCUGUUGAUGCUGGGGCUGGUUGGAGGACUAGGGCUGUUCACGAAGCUGGUCGGAGCGAGCCAGUCAGCCGCAAGUAGUCCAGUGUUGAUCAUCGUAUCGUACGAUGGGUUCCGGACCGAAUAUUUGCAACGCAAUAGCACUGCGUACAUGAAUGCUUUGCGUCGCAAUGGCACGACUAGCUCCUACCUGCGAAACGUAUUCCCGACGAAAACCUUUCCAAACCACCAUAGUAUCGCUACCGGGGUCUACCCGAACAUACACGGCGUUCUAGCGAGCAAUGUGUACGACUUGCAGCGUAGCAGCGUCCUUAACUACUCGUACGAGCUGUUCCAUUAUAACACGGACAUUUUGCCGAUUUGGUCUCUCAAUCAAUACGCUGGUGGACACAGUGGCUGUAUGAUGUGGCCCGGAUCCGACUUUGGCUAUGGCCCCAGCAACCUAACGUGCAGCCACACACAACCGUUCAACCUGUCGCUGCCGUGGAAUGACCGUCUCAGCAUUAUAUUUCGGUGGAUACGGGAUGCAGAACGACCGGCUAACCUCAUCAUGCUGUACAUCGAGGAGCCGGACUACUACGGGCACAUCUACGGGCCGGAGUCGAACCGGGUUGCACAGCUGGUAGUUAAGCUAAACGAUUUCACCCGGCUGCUGCACACACAGAUAGCCGAGCAGCGACUCGAGGACCGCGUUAACGUUGUCCACCUGAGUGAUCACGGCAUGGAUACGGUAAUGCCCAAGAACUUCAUCAAUCUCACUGCGUUCGUGCCAGCAGAACUGAAGUACGACGCGUACGGCAACACGCCCGUGCUGCAGAUCGUGCCCAAGGUGAAACAACAGACAGCUGAUCUGUACCGGGCCCUCAAAAACGCGGCAGACGCGGAGCCGGGUCGGUUUGAGGUGUAUACGGUUGAGAACCUACCCUUGCGGUGGCGGUACAACAGUUCGCAGCGAACAGGGCCAAUAACUGCCGUCGCACAGCUCGGCUAUGGGUUUGACGAUAUGUGGGAUACGGUAGCCUACUACAAGCGGAAAUUCGACGUCGAAGUGACACCCGAAACGCGGUACGGGGUUCAUGGUUACGAUAACGCACUACCGAUCAUGAACUCAAUGUUCUUUGCAUACGGACCCUCGAUUCGGGAGCAGCUGGUGAUCGAACCAUUCGAUACAGUGGAUUUGUACUACCUGUUCUGCGAACUUCUCAACCUUACGCCCCCGCCUAUGCUGUCCGGGAAUCUGAACCAUGUGCACCGCAUUUUGCGUAACGAUUCGCGCGAUGACGACGACGGCGAUGAUUCCAAUAACGACAAUGACCACAACGGUUCUCACACAAAAACCGUAGCGGUGAUUUUUGUCGGCAGCUUUAUAGGGUCGUUCGCUAUCGUCAGUUUGCUGGCGCUCGCCGUUAUUUAUCAGCGUCGAAGGCGCGAAAAUCUGGUCCCACCUUACCUAUACGAGGAAACGGAAACCUUCAUCGACGAGGGUAACAAGCUACUGCACACCAGCACUACCAACUCCUCCAUUAAUGGGGGUGACGUCGUCUCCGUGGACGUUUGAAGUGAGCUUUGAAGCCCCUGUCAAAUCAAUCUCCAUGGGAACAGGGUGAGCCAUUGAACUGCGAUUUCGUAUUCCAGUCGGCAACUGUCGGGCCAAUCACCCUAACAGAAGUCAUUCAACAAACGUUCACCCAACGGUUUGACAUCCGUUUCAGCGUGCUCUCAAAGGGCAUAAGUCUGAUUGUGUAUAUAGCAUGCAGUCAUCAUUCCGUCUGGUUGGAGUAACUUCGUUGUAGUGGGACUUAGACGUGCAGCAGCAAGAGAUCGGUGCAGUGCUCGUUAAGAACACUAAAACUGACUGGGAAAACUUGUGUAGCAUACAUUAAGUGUUCUUCUUCCAAAACUGAACCGUUCAAGCAAAGCCUUCCGAUCGCCUUCAAUCGCCCGCAAAUGAAAACACAAACACAAACAAACACUUGCACACACUUACACCCACACACACAUGCAUCUUUCCAUUUUAUAAUGGACUAUGCACUUCCAAAUCGCCCUGUUGCACACGGAUACAAAAGAAACUAAACUAAAAAGUCUACAUCAAGAACUAUUGGAUACAUUAUAAAUGUUGUAGGGAAGAAAGGAAUUGCAUCGCAGCGUGUUAAUUCAUUGUGGCCAUAUUUUUUGUGUGGUUUGCGAAGAAGAGGGCCACCAAAGUGCUCCACCAGUGCACAAUUCAAUAACAAUUUAGUAUUUAACUCGUUUUACACGGCGCGUAAUGGGUCCGGUUUGGGCGUGUAGAAAAUUGUACAUUAUGUUUUCGUAGGUUUUUACUUUAAAUCUUUUUAUCCCCGUCCCCGACUCUCGACAGAAACCGUGCAAGUGUAGGAAGUUAUCGGAAGGAAUCGGCGGCAUGUUUGUCUGUCGCUGUACUCGAACUUCAGCAGUUAUCGUGAAGCAACACGUAAUCGAACAACCACAACGCUGCUAAUACAUUAGAAAAUCGUGACUUUUUCGCGUUAUAAUGUGCUAAAUAUCAGAGGAAUAAGAAAUCCGAUUGUUUUAAGAAAAAAGCUAUCUCUAUUGUGAUAUUUUUCUAUGAGGAUAUCUAUGAAAUACAAGUAGUAGUCUAUUAGACGUAGGGACGCUGGAGAGGUCUGCGCUGGACUGGCAAAGAAGCAGAGCGGUGCAAGCGGGAGGUUCACCGGAAUAUACUGUAUACCUUUACAUUGUGCAACGAUUGUAGCUUAAAGAUGUAUUUAAAUUACGAGUCGACCGGCUUACCAAUUACACCAGGAGGAAGCCGGAUGAAAGUCACUUUUGAAAAAUCCACCGAACACCGCAAGCAAACGCGCGUAACUUAGCGCAUGCAGAAAACAAAGGAUAAAGCCAUAUCUAGAGUAGGGCAGACGUGGGCAGAAUGAUGCACAGCUAUGUACAGCGAUACGGGAGCUAUGUAGACUAAAAGGGAAGCACGACUACACCUAGUGGUUUUGGUUGCGACACAACGAAUUUUCUAAUGUCCAGUGUGUGCUCACUGCUGCUCGAAAGUUCUCGAGUAGUAGAUUCUCUUGCACCGUCUACCCGGGAGGAACAGAUUUAACGAUGUAUUUGUUUUAGAAAAAGUAAUAACGAAAACAAAACAAAAACCAAAUGUUGAAGUUUAAUGGUCUCAUUCGAAUAAAAGAACCAGUUUAUGUAUCAGAUCAAGAUAAGUGUGGUUUUUCGUAUAGACCGAUAAUUUCUGCAAAUAAUUAGACCAAUAAAGGGUUUAGGAAAAUCUUCCCGAAAUUCUUUUGCUGUUC